UUAAAACUUUUUUAACAGGCAGGCUUCGGUGUGGGUCAGAAGACACCAGAGCCCGUUCAGUGAGACUGAGACCGUGAAGGAAGAGUGAGUCACCAACCCCAACUUCCUCUCCGCUCACAUAGCAACCGGGGCAGGAGGAGAUCGUGGGGGAUUUUUCGUGGGUAAACAAGAGUGACUAACAGGCUCAUAUCGCAGCAACAACUGCUUUGAUAUUUCGCAGGGCUAGAAGCUUCUAGAAGAGUUGAGGGCUCAGUAAAGACUGUUGUCUACAGUGUUUUUUUCUGUAUCUGACAACGGAUACCGUUUGGAGAGUUGUCAUCCUGAGACGUCGGAUAAGAGGAGCCGUCAGCACCCGGUGCGGUGGUGACCUACCGUCUGACUUCCAAGGAGGAAGGGGCCGGGAAACGAAAAGGGGUCCCAGAGACCAGGGCACGUGAAGGGAGAAGAAAACUGAUUGAGUUAAUGGGAACCAAGUUUGCGAAGGAGGAGUGUGCCGUCUGGGUUUGGAAACCUUUGAAUGUGCAGGAGUGAGCCAGGCGAAAUCAGGGGCGUCUGGCUGGUGCCCAGAAUAUCGUUGGCGUGUUGUCAGGACUCUUGAUGACAGACUUAGGUUCUGCGUCCGUGGGCGCACUGGGUGCUCUUAAUGAUGAAGUUCUAGAACCUAGAAACUAACUUCCGUGGGGGUGAUGCCCUCCAUUGUUUCUCCAGUGAAAACACACAGGCUACUGGCCCAAAGGGAAGGCAGAACAAGACUCCUACAUCCUUAUGAUGUAGGUUUACAAUCUUCGUAAGCUCUGGAAGCCGCAGCCAGCAAAGGAUUCUUGAGACAUCUUUGGAACAAAAAGGAGAAAGGAAAAAAAAAAAAAGAAAGAAGGGAAAUUCUGGCACCUGAUCAACCUGGAUAAACUUUGAGGACAUUAUGCUCAGUGAAGUAUGACAGUCACAAAAAGACAAAUACUGUAUGAUUGCGGUUGUAUGAGUAUAUAUACUUGCACAGAUGGGCAAGCUCUCUGUAAAAUACACCGCUGAAAUCGAGAGAAUGACAAUGAGAAAUGGACACACUCCCCCUCAGAAGGGGUGGUUUCACCGUCUCUCCACUGCUCAAAGAACAAGGAUGUGGAAUCCCAGGCUGGUAAACUCUUCGCAAGCACACAUGGAAUAGUAACAAAAUGUUCACCACGUGCCAGGCCACACAAAGUCAACAUGUAUCCCCAAGCUAGGUCAUGUAUUUAAAACUCUUCCUUACCCCUUGGCACCAGUGCAAGUUGUCUGUGACGCAGUAAAGUAGGAACCAUCCAAAAAGGGUUGAGAAUGCCUCUGUCCCUUGUUGUAGAAUGAGACUCAAAACAAAAUUAAACAGACUCGAGAAAAAGUA